rnacentral:rRNA from 1 species
CCUACGGGUGGCUGCAGUGGGGGAUAUUGCACAAUGGGGGAAACCCUGAUGCAGCGACGCCGCGUGUGGGAAGACGGUCCUCUGGAUUGUAAACCACUGUUCUCAGGGACGAAGAUGACGGUACCUGGGGAGGAAGCUCCGGCUAACUACGUGCCAGAGGCCGGGGUACUACGUAGGGAGCGAGCGUUGUCCGGAAUUACUGGGUGUAAAGGGAGCGUAGGCGGGGAUGCAAGUUGGGGGUCAAAACUACCGGCUCAACUGGUAGUCGCACUCAAAACUGCAGCGCUUGAGUGAAGUAGAGGCAGGCGGAAUUCCUAGUGUAGCGGUGAAAUGCGUAGAGAUUAGGAGGAACACCAAUGGCGAAGGCAGCCUACUGAGCUUUUACUGACGCUGAGGCUCGAAAGUGUGGGGAGCAAACAGGAUUAGAUACCCGGGUAGUC